GUCUGUUAAUUUUUUAGAUUUUUAAAGUUUAAAAUUUUUUAAAGAUUGCAAAAGACAUUUAUAUUAUAGGAUUUUGAAACCUGAAAAUGUCUUACCGUACUUUUUAGUGAUCUGCUUUCAAUAGUUUACCUCAACAAACGUGACUUUUUAAAGCAUUGUAACAAAAAACUGUAUGGUGAAACACUUUUGAAUUGUCGAAACUAGUAAAACUAAAUUCCUUUGUGAGGUUUUAGAUAUAGUCUAAAAGUCGGAAAAACUUAUUUCACAAUAAACAUAAUAUAAGGAUUCCUCGAAAGUCCUUAAAAGUAGGAGUAUUGUGAAUAAAACGGUAAAAAUUUUCUCAUGGUACAAAAUUAAUGAAAGAAGAAAUAAAACCAUUGUAAAAAAAUACUACUCCAUUCUGAAGAACGGAGUUGGUUUAAAUUAAAUAAUGAGUAUUAUUAUAAGUAGAUCGCAACAAUGAUGUUAUGGAAGAAACAUUGAGUGGGAUUGUCAUAAGACACGAUCAAUCAAUGAAGCAUAAUAAGAAACAAGAGCCACGCUAUCUAGAGCUACGCACAGCUGGCUUACACGCACUUGCGCUCGCAAUAACACAACGACCGUCACCAACUACUAUAAUUGUGCGCUUCCCCUGGUGCAUUCCAAUCCUCGACAAAUCUGUACUCUGAUGUCGCAACAUAACAGACUAGUUAUUUUUUAUGAAAUUAUAUCGUCAGUACUGGGUUCGCUCAAACGUGUUAGCAAGGACCCCUCUACUUGUUCCAGCCCCGUGGGAACGCGUUGGUGGCCAGCUGCACUGAUUGCCGCGAGGACGUGACGUAGUGCCGGGAUACUAAAGGAAAGUGUCUUUGUAUGUGUGGUAUAGUAAGUCUAUAUUGAAAAAUACUGAGUGAAGAAGUAAACUGGUAUAGGUAUAUAGUAUAGCAUGGGAUUGGGCGAUGCUGAUCAUCACAAUCUCCAAGUAGUAUAUAGUAAUAUAGGUAUACAUAUUUAUAUUAUAGGUGGUGGGAAUGUAUUUGUGUGAAGUAUAUAUACUAUAAAGAAUACGGUUAGGUAUGUAUAGAAAUAAAGAAGACUUGCUAAAGGGAGAAAGAUGGUCAAAGAAGUUUAAGAGCAGAACGAAGCCGACGAGGCCAAGAUCCGUACGAGAAGAAAAGAGGGACGCAUUCCAAUGAGGCGCCGGCCAGUCUGUGGCACACCUGCGCGUUAAGCUGAAUCACGGCGCCUCCGCCACAACUGAACUGGCCCUCCCACCCGUUUCUCUUUCUCUCUUGUCCUCCCGAUCCUUUUUCUCCCACAACAUAUAGCUUCCCAGCCGGAGCCAGACAAGCCAGAUAAAGAUAAAAGUCCAGAGUUAUUUGCGUUUUCUCUUUACUUCACAUUCAGCUUCUAUAGGUACUAUUCAGGCUCUUUUGCUCGACACGAUUCACAGCACAGCCACAUCGAAACAUAACAGCAAGAGACGCAGUGUCGAAUAACUGGGAAAGCUCACGGUCUUGCGUAUACAAUUCGAUGGAGGCGUGCAGGUGUCCAAUGAAGCCUGUCCGUCCGGACUUAAUGUCUGUCUAUAGUUAUAUUUCUUUAAAUUAUGCCUUAAAUCUCAUGCUCACGCUGUUUUUUCUUUUACUCACUUGCAUUGACCUAAAAUUAUCAUUUUUUAUUUUUAUUUACAGGUAUGCACCUUUUUUUUUUAUUAGUAUUUUUGACACUACAACACAUAAAAAUAAAAAUUUUAUGGUUUUACUUCUCAAGAUUUAUAUCGGAUCCUGUUAAACGGAAAAACAAAGGAUCAUAACAUUACAAAAACAAAUAGAUGGCAACUUUUUUGGCAGAACUGUUCUUCACUAAAAUUAUUAAUUAUUUUGUAGUCUAAGUAGAUUAUUAAUUAGUAAUUUAAGCAAAAUCUAUCCAAAAACAGAAUUCUGGUUAGAAAAAAUUCAAAGCUAUUGACAUAA